GAUGAACGCUAGCGGCAGGCUUAACACAUGCAAGUCGAGGGGUAUAGGAAGCUUGCUUCCUUGAGACCGGCGCACGGGUGCGUAACGCGUAUGCAAUCUGCCUUGUACUGAGGGAUAGCCCAGAGAAAUUUGGAUUAAUACCUCAUAGCAUUAUGAGAUCGCAUGGUUUUAUAAUUAAAGUUCCAACGGUACAAGGUGAGCAUGCGUCCCAUUAGUUAGUUGGUAAGGUAACGGCUUACCAAGACGAUGAUGGGUAGGGGUCCUGAGAGGGAGAUCCCCCACACUGGUACUGAGACACGGACCAGACUCCUACGGGAGGCAGCAGUGAGGAAUAUUGGUCAAUGGACGCAAGUCUGAGCCAGCCAUGCCGCGUGCAGGAUGAAGCAUCUAUGGUGUGUAAACUGCUUUUGUACGGGAAGAAACACUCCUACGUGUAGGAGCUUGACGGUACCGUAAGAAUAAGGAUCGGCUAACUCCGUGCCAGCCGCCGCCGUAAAAC
rnacentral:rRNA from 1 species